rnacentral:rRNA from 1 species
AGUGAACGCUGGCGGUAGGCCUAACACAUGCAAGUCGAACGGCAGCACAGGAGAGCUUGCUCUCUGGGUGGCGAGUGGAGGACGGGUGAGGAAUACAUCGGAAUCUACUCUGUCGUGGGGGAUAACGUAGGGAAACUUACGCUAAUACCGCAUACGAACUACGGGUGAAAGCAGGGGACCAUUGGGCCUUGCGCGAUUGAAUGAGCCGAUGUCGGAUUAGCUAGUUGGGGCGGUAAAGGCCCACCAAGGCGACGAUCCGUAGCGGGUCUGAGAGGAUGAUCAGCCACACUGGAACUGAGACACGCUCCAGACUCCUACGGGAGGCAGCAGGGGGGAAUAUUGGACAAUGGGCGCAAGCCUGAUCCAGCCAUACCGCGUGGGUGAAGAAGGCCUUCGGGUUGUAAAGCCCUUUUGUUGGGAAAGAAAUCCAGCUGGCUAAUACCCGGUUGGGAUGACGGUACCCAAAGAAUAAGCACCGGCUAACUUCGUGCCAGCCGCCGCAGUAA